GAUCCUGGCUCAGGACGAACGCUGGCGGCACGCUUAACACAUGCAAGUCGAACGGUGAAGAGAAGCUUGCUUCUCGGAUCAGUGGCGGACGGGUGAGUAACACGUGAGCAACCUGCCUUUAAGAGGGGGAUAACGUUUUGGAAACGAACGCUAAUACCGCAUGACAUAGAAGAUUCGCAUGUUUCUUCUAUCAAAGAUUUAUCGCUUAAAGAUGGGCUCGCGUCUGAUUAGCUAGUUGGUG
rnacentral:rRNA from 1 species